rnacentral:rRNA from 1 species
AAAUUGAAGAGUUUGAUCAUGGCUCAGAUUGAACGCUGGCGGCAGGCCUAACACAUGCAAGUCGAGCGGUAGCACAGAAGAGCUUGCUCUUUGGGUGACGAGCGGCGGACGGGUGAGUAAUGUCUGGGAAACUGCCUGAUGGAGGGGGAUAACUACUGGAAACGGUAGCUAAUACCGCAUAACCUCGCAAGAGCAAAGAACCUUAGGGCCUCUCGCCAUCAGAUGUGCCCAGAUGGGAUUAGCUAGUAGGUGAGGUAAUGGCUCACCUAGGCGACGAUCCCUAGCUGGUCUGAGAGGAUGACCAGCCACACUGGAACUGAGACACGGUCCAGACUCCUACGGGAGGCAGCAGUGGGGAAUAUUGCACAAUGGGCGCAAGCCUGAUGCAGCCAUGCCGCGUGUGUGAAGAAGGCCUUCGGGUUGUAAAGCACUUUCAGCGGGGAGGAAGGCAGUAAGGUUAAUAACCUUAUUGAUUGACGUUACCCGCAGAAGAAGCACCGGCUAACUCCGUGCCAGCAGCCGCGGUAAUACGGAGGGUGCAAGCGUUAAUCGGAAUGACUGGGCGUAAAGCGCACGCAGGCGGUCUGUUAAGUUGGAUGUGAAAUCCCCGGGCUUAACCUGGGAACUGCAUUCAAAACUGACAGGCUAGAGUCUUGUAGAGGGGGGUAGAAUUCCAGGUGUAGCGGUGAAAUGCGUAGAGAUCUGGAGGAAUACCGGUGGCGAAGGCGGCCCCCUGGACAAAGACUGACGCUCAGGUGCGAAAGCGUGGGGAGCAAACAGGAUUAGAUACCCUGGUAGUCCACGCUGUAAACGAUGUCGAUUUGGAGGUUGUGCCCUUGAGGCGUGGCUUCCGGAGCUAACGCGUUAAAUCGACCGCCUGGGGAGUACGGCCGCAAGGUUAAAACUCAAAUGAAUUGACGGGGGCCCGCACAAGCGGUGGAGCAUGUGGUUUAAUUCGAUGCAACGCGAAGAACCUUACCUACUCUUGACAUCCACAGAAUUCGGCAGAGAUGCCUUAGUGCCUUCGGGAACUGUGAGACAGGUGCUGCAUGGCUGUCGUCAGCUCGUGUUGUGAAAUGUUGGGUUAAGUCCCGCAACGAGCGCAACCCUUAUCCUUUGUUGCCAGCGAUUCGGUCGGGAACUCAAAGGAGACUGCCGGUGAUAAACCGGAGGAAGGUGGGGAUGACGUCAAGUCAUCAUGGCCCUUACGAGUAGGGCUACACACGUGCUACAAUGGCGUAUACAAAGAGAAGCGACCUCGCGAGAGCAAGCGGACCUCAUAAAGUACGUCGUAGUCCGGAUUGGAGUCUGCAACUCGACUCCAUGAAGUCGGAAUCGCUAGUAAUCGUAGAUCAGAAUGCUACGGUGAAUACGUUCCCGGGCCUUGUACACACCGCCCGUCACACCAUGGGAGUGGGUUGCAAAAGAAGUAGGUAGCUUAACCUUCGGGAGGGCGCUUACCACUUUGUGAUUCAUGACUGGGGUGAAGUCGUAACAAGGUAACCGUAGGGGAACCUGCGGUUGGAUCACCUCCUUACCAAGAAG